rnacentral:rRNA from 1 species
GAUGAACGCUAGCUACAGGCUUAACACAUGCAAGUCGAGGGGUAGCAGGGUAGCAAUACCGCUGACGACCGGCGCACGGGUGAGUAACACGUAUCCAACCUUCCCAUAACUCGGGGAUAGCCUUUCGAAAGAAAGAUUAAUACCCGAUAGUACUUUUUUGUAGGCAUCUUGAGAAAGUUAAAGAUUUAUUGGUUAUGGAUGGGGAGUGCGUUCCAUUAGAUUGUUGGUGAGGUAACGGCUCACCAAGUCUUCGAUGGAUAGGGGUUCGUGAGAGGAAGGUCCCCCACCAUUGGUACUGAGACACGGACCAAACUCCUACGGGAGGCAGCAGUGAGGAAUAUUGGUCAAUGGGCGAGAGCCUGAACCAGCCAAGUAGCGUGAAGGAUGAAGGUCCUAUGGAUUGUAAACUUCUUUUAUAGUAGAAUAAAGUGAUCCACGUGUGGAUUUUUGUAUGUAUACUAUGAAUAAGGAUCGGCUAACUCCGUGCCAGCAGCCGCGGUAAAACGUCUA